UACAGAGGUCUCAAGCGUUGUUCGGAUUCAUUGGGCGUAAAGGGGUGCGUAGCGGCGGGGUAAGUCGGGUGUGAAAUCUCAGAGCUCAACUCUGAAAUGGCACUUGAUACUGCUCUGCUAGAGGACUGGAGAGGAGAUUGGAAUUCACGGUGUAGCAGUGAAAUGCGUAGAUAUCGUGAGGAAGACCGGUGGCGAAGGCGGAUCUCUGGACAGUUCCUGACGCUGAGGCGCGAAGGCCAGGGGAGCAAACGGG
rnacentral:rRNA from 1 species